UACGUAGGGGGCAAGCGUUGUCCGGAUUUACUGGGCGUAAAGCGUGCGUAGACGGCUAUCUAAGUCGGGUGUGAAAGCCCCGGGCUCAACCUGGGAAUUGCAUUCGAGACUGAAUAGCUAGGGUACGGUAGAGGGAAGUGGAAUUUCCGGUGUAGCGGUGAAAUGCGUAGAUAUCGGAAGGAACAUCAGUGGCGAAAGCGACUUCCUGGACCAGUACCGACGUUCAGGCACGAAAGCGUGGGGAGCAAACAGG
rnacentral:rRNA from 1 species